ensembl:lncRNA
AUGGAGGCUAUAUACAGGGUAUUACGGUACAGAGUCAAUGUGGAGGCUAUAUACAUUAUAUACAGUAUUACGGUACAGAGUCAAUGUGGAGGCUAUAUACAUUAUAUACACGGUACAGAGUCAAUGUGGAGGCUAUAUACAUUAUAUACAGUAUUACGGUACAGAGUCAAUGUGGAGGCUAUAUACAUUAUAUACAGUAUUACGGUACAGAGUCAAUGUGGAGGCUAUAUACAUUAUAUACAGUAUUACGGUACAGAGUCAAUGUGGAGGCUAUAUACAUUAUAUACAGUAUUACGGUACAGAGUCAAUGUGGAGGCUAUAUACAUUAUAUACAGUAUUACGGUACAGAGUCAAUGUGGAGGCUAUAUACAUUAUAUACAGUAUUACGGUACAGAGUCAAUGUGGAGGCUAUAUACAUUAUAUACAGUAUUACGGUACAGAGUCAAUGUGGAGGCUAUAUACAUUAUAUACAGUAUUACGGUACAGAGUCAAUGUGGAGGCUAUAUACAUUAUCUACAGUAUUAUGGUACAGAGUCAAUGUGGAGGCUAUAUACAUUAUAUACAGUAUUACGGUACAGAGUCAAUGUGGAGGCUAUAUACAUUAUAUACAGUAUUACGGUACAGAGUCAAUGUGGAGGCUAUAUAAAUUAUAUACAGUAUUACGGUACAGAGUCAAUGUGGAGGCUAUAUACAUUAUAUACAGUAUUACGGUACAGAGUCAAUGUGGAGGCUAUAUACAUUAUAUACAGUAUUACGGUACAGAGUCAAUGUGGAGGCUAUAUACAUUAUAUACAGUAUUACGGUACAGAGUCAAUGUGGAGGCUAUAUACAUUAUAUACAGUAUUACGGUACAGAGUCAAUGUGGAGGCUAUAUACAUUAUAUACAGUAUUACGGUACAGAGUCAAUGUGGAGGCUAUAUACAUUAUAUACAGUAUUACGGUACAGAGUCAAUGUGGAGGCUAUAUACAUUAUAUACAGUAUUACGGUACAGAGUCAAUGUGGAGGCUAUAUACAUUAUAUACAGUAUUACGGUACAGAGUCAAUGUGGAGGCUAUAUAAAUUAUAUACAGUAUUACGGUACAGAGUCAAUGUGGAGGCUAUAUACAUUAUAUACAGUAUUACGGUACAGAGUCAAUGUGGAGGCUAUAUACAUUAUAUACAGUAUUACGGUACAGAGUCAAUGUGGAGGCUAUAUACAUUAUAUACAGUAUUACGGUACAGAGUCAAUGUGGAGGCUAUAUACAUUAUAUACAGUAUUACGGUACAGAGUCAAUGUGGAGGCUAUAUACAUUAUAUACAGUAUUACGGUACAGAGUCAAUGUGGAGGCUAUAUACAGGGGGUACCUGUACAGAGUCAAUGUGGAGGCUAUAUUCAGGGGGUACCGGUACAGAGUCAAUGUGGAGGCUAUAUACACGGGGUACCGGUACAGAGUCAAUGGGGAGGCUAUAUACAGGGGGUACCGGUACAGAGUCAAUGUGGAGGCUAUAUACAGAGGGUACCAGUACAGAGUCAAUGUGGAGGCUAUAUACAGGGGGUACCGGUACAGAGUCAAUGUGGAGGCUAUAUACAGGGGGUACCGGUACAGAGUCAAUGUGGAGGCUAUAUACAGGGGGUACCGGUACAGAGUCAAUGUGGAGGCUAUAUACAGAGGGUACCAGUACAGAGUCAAUGUGGAGGCUAUAUACAGAGGGUACCAGUACAGAGUCAAUGUGGAGGCUAUAUACAGGGGGUACCAGUACAGAGUCAAUGUGGAGGCUAUAUACAGAGGGUACCAGUACAGAGUCAAUGUGGAGGCUAUAUACAGGGGGUACCGGUACAGAGUCAAUGUGGAGGCUAUAUACAGAGGGUACCGGUACAGAGUCAAUGGGGAGGCUAUAUACAUUAUAUACAGUAUUACGGUACAGAGUCAAUGUGGAGACUAUAUACAGGGGGUACCUGUACAGAGUCAAUGUGGAGGCUAUAUACAGGGGGUACCAGUACAGAGUCAAUGUGGAGGCUAUAUACAGAGGGUACCAGUACAGAGUCAAUGUGGAGGCUAUAUACAGGGGGUACCGGUACAGAGUCAAUGUGGAGGCUAUAUACAGAGGGUACCAGUACAGAGUCAAUGUGGAGGCUAUAUACAUUAUAUACAGUAUUACGGUACAGAGUCAAUGUGGAGGCUAUAUACAUUAUAUACAGUAUUACGGUACAGAGUCAAUGUGGAGGCUAUAUACAUUAUAUACAGUAUUACGGUACAGAGUCAAUGUGGAGGCUAUAUACAUUAUAUACACGGUACAGAGUCAAUGUGGAGGCUAUAUACAUUAUAUACACGGUACAGAGUCAAUGUGGAGGCUAUAUACAGGGGGUACCGGUACAGAGUCAAUGUGGAGGCUAUAUACAGGGGGUACCGGUACAGAGUCAAUGUGGAGGCUAUAUACAGGGGGUACCGGUACAGAGUCAAUGUGGAGGCUAUAUACAGGGGGUACCAGUACAGAGUCAAUGUGGAGGCUAUAUACAGGGGGUACCGGUACAGAGUCAAUGUGGAGGCUAUAUACAGGGGGUACCAGUACAGAGUCAAUGUGGAGGCUAUAUACAGGGGGUACCGGUACAGAGUCAAUGUGGAGGCUAUAUACAUUAUAUACAGUAUUACGGUACAGGGUCAAUGUGGAGGCUAUGUACAGUGGGUACCUGUACAGAGUCAAUGUGGAGGUUAUAUACAGGGGGUACCGGUACAGAGUCAAUGUGGAGGGGCACAGGUUAG